rnacentral:rRNA from 1 species
UCAGGUCUUGACAUCCCUGACAACCCGAGAGAUCGGGCGUUCCCCUUCGGGGGACAGGGUGACAGGUGGUGCAUGGUUGUCGUCAGCUCGUGUCGUGAGAUGUUGGGUUAAGUCCCGCAACGAGCGCAACCCUCGACCUUAGUUGCCAGCAUUCAGUUGGGCACUCUAAGGUGACUGCCGGCUAAAAGUCGGAGGAAGUGGGGAUGACGUCAAAUCAUCAUGCCCCUUAUGACCUGGGCUACACACGUGCUACAAUGGGCGGUACAAAGGGUCGCGAACCCGCGAGGGGGAGCCAAUCCCAAAAAGCCGCUCUCAGUUCGGAUUGCAGGCUGCAACUCGCCUGCAUGAAGCCGGAAUCGCUAGUAAUCGCGGAUCAGCAUGCCGCGGUGAAUACGUUCCCGGGCCUU